CUCGUAUUGGAAUGAAGAGCUGCGGUGACUAUGGGCCCUAUCAAAAUAAUAUCUAUUUGCUUAUGUUUCUUAUGUAGCUAAGGCCUCUAAGAAGUCAUACUGUAGCUAAGGUGGUUGCUAAGGAUACAAAUACCAAUGGUUGCUAAGGAGACUCCCUAAAGAAAGAAAUCAAGAAGGAUGCUUUCCCGAGCAGGAACAGGAACAGGAGUGAGUUUACCCUACUAUUAGAUAGAAAGAAAGAACGUUUCUCGCAAGGGAGUGGAAUUAUUAGUGUUCUACUAGAUGCACUAGAUCGGUAAACCGGUGCUUGGCUUAACCUAGCCUCUCCUCACCAGACUUGAGAACCGGAACUGGUCAUUCGUUAGCGAGUUAUUCCCUUGAAGAAUCGAUAACUUCACUCGCUUCUUACCUUGCCACCAAGUCAAACAUGAAUUGAUUAUCGAGCACCAGCA
rnacentral:lncRNA from 1 species